rnacentral:rRNA from 1 species
UACAGAGGUCUCAAGCGUUGUUCGGAUUCAUUGGGCGUAAAGGGUGCGUAGGCGGCGCGGUAAGUCGGGUGUGAAAUUUCGGAGCUUAACUCCGAAACUGCAUUCGAUACUGCCGUGCUUGAGGACUGGAGAGGAGACUGGAAUUUACGGUGUAGCAGUGAAAUGCGUAGAGAUCGUAAGGAAGACCAGUGGCGAAGGCAGGUCUCUGGGCCACUACUGACGCUGAGAAGCGAAAGCGUGGGGAGCGAACAGG